rnacentral:rRNA from 1 species
CUCAGAACGAACGCUGGCGGCGCGUCUUAAACAUGCAAGUCGAACGAUCUGUAGCAAUACAGGGAGUGGCGGACGGGUGAGGAACACGUAGGAAUCUACCUUGAAGAGCGGGACAACUUUGGGAAACCGGGGCUAAUACCGCAUAGUACAGAGAUGUUAAAGGGCUAGCAAUAGUCGCUUCGAGAUGAGCCUGCGGUCUAUCAGCUUGUUGGUGAGGUAAUGGCUCACCAAGGCUACGACGGAUAGCCGGUCUGAGAGGAUGAUCGGCCACACUGGCACUGAGACACGGGCCAGACUCCUACGGGAGGCAGCAGUUAAGAAUCUUGCGCAAUGGGGGAAACCCUGACGCAGCGACGCCGCGUGAAGGAUGAAGGCUUUCGGGUUGUAAACUUCGGUAGACUGGGAAGAAGAAACACGUUCGUUGAGGGCAUAUAGUGACGGUACCAGUCUGAAGCCCCGGCUAAUUACGUG